AAUGCAGUCUUGAAGUCAAAUAAUUGUUAGCCAAGCUUUGUACCAUUGUUGGUUGAAUCUGCUCAAGUUUCAAACAUCUUUUGUUCUCCACUGUGGCAAUUUCCUUCCCAUUGCUAUUCAAAGAAUUGAUUACAGAGAUGGCUAUACAAGAAAGUAGUCGACGAUAUUUACGUUACAAGACUGCUGACAGAAACACUCUCUUUUGCUCACUAUUGUAAUAAAUUUCAGGGUGGCUAUUA